UAGAGGUUCAGCUGCUGUAACAAACCGCAAAAUAACAGUAGUUAAAUAAGAAGAAAGUGUAUUUCUCUCUCACGUAACAAGCAGUGCAGGCUUGAUCAUGUCUCCAUCGUGUCAGUGGCCCAGGAUUCCGCCAUCUGUUGCUCUGCCCGUCCCUUGCAUGUUGCCCUCACCAUAUGGUCCUAAUGGCUGCCACCAUCUCUGUAUUCCAGAAAGGAGGCUGGAGCAACAAGGGCUCCUCCGCCCCCUUAACAACGUAACCCAGAAACUGUUCACACCACUUCCACCCAAUCCCAUUGGACAGAACUUCGCCUGUGACCACACCGAGCUACAGCGCAGACUGGGCUAUGCUGGGCUAUAGGUAAGAAGCCGGCAAGGAGGGGGAACCCGGUAAAAGUAGUGAACGGAUCUAUCAAUCGACGUCCAGCAGAUGGUUCAAACGGGCACCCAGCACAUUUCAUGAACGAAUGAAUCAAUCCACGUCUAGCAGACUGUACCAACGCCUUAAUUCUUCCCCACCUGCAGGGAUAAGCUGAACGAAGCCUGUGUGUGCACGUGCACACAAUCACACGUUCACCGGUUGUGAGGGGAGACUGGCAGACCUUAGCACCUUCAGACUACUGUGGGUCGGCUCAUCCCCUCCUUGAGAAACGGAAGCGACACAGAGCGACACAGCUCAAGGGAAAGAGGUACUUUGCCCCCCAGACACUACAAAUCAGGUACAUCUUUCUCACUCCCUGCCCGAAGACCCUCAUACUCAGGAAAAUAUUCUCUCUCAGCAGCAUCUACACUCUCCCACCGGCCCCAGCCCCGACUCCUGGCCCCCCCAGGCCACUGAGCCCCCCUCGAUGACAGCCUCCUCAGGUUCCCCAAAGUAGGACACCCAGGCGUUUGGCACUCUACUCCUUCCACAGCACAGUGGGUUCUGGAACGUUCUGAGGAAUGGGCUUUUUUUGGCCCAGGAGGGCAAACCCCAAGAAUCAGAUAAACACCAGCGCAGGCCUCCAGCCCCCUGGGGGGCCCAUUCCGAGGCCCGGCGCGCGCAGGGACCGCCACGCCGCCUCUGCGCUGGGCGCACACCUACCGCCCUGGCCGGCGUCCCGGUGUCGCACCCAGAGCACUGAGCGCGCCCCGAAACUCCGCGCUCCUGCUGGGCCCCGCUCCCAGCUGUCAGGGCAGCCAAGUGGGCUGUCACAAAAAAGGGAAAAAGCACAUGAAACGUUUCGGGUUGUUUUUAUGGGCCUCGGCGGCCCCCGCUCCUCCCCCGGGCUCCCAUGGCAGACACACAAGUAUGAGUUCAGACCCUGCACGACACAUUUCGGACGGGCUGGUGACGCCAGCCCCGGGGAGUACAAGAGGCUGGCUUGUGCGCCCCGAGGGGCAUUUUCCGUCCGGGCCGGGACCUUCCGCUGGCAGCGCCUGGGACCCGAGCCUCGUCCGCCCAGCGCCCACGCGGCCUCGGGGCCCCCUGGCACCCGCUGACGUGCGGGGAGGACAGAAGGGCCCAGACCCGGCCUCUGGCUGCCCAAAUAUUUGCCUCCCAGCCGUAGCCCAGCAAGCAGCCCAGGGCCCGAGCAGUUCAAAGGCCUUGUGCUUUUCCUGGCACAGCUGGGCGAAUUCUGGAGGCCACAGGAGAUGGUGGAGAGGGCCUUCUUGGGCCUGGAGCCCGGUCCGCUGCCCACUGCAUAGGUUCUUCCAGCCUCCGGACUAGAGAGGUGACUCCAGGGCCAGGUGGACAGUCUGGCUGCCUCCCGUCCCCUUUGAGGGCCCCUCCCUCUGGCCCAUCCAAAUAGCUACUGCCUCUUUCUAAUGAUUCCUGGAUCCUCUAAAAGCUGAAAGUGUUUAAGAGAGGUAUCAGGGAGGCCCUGCUAGGUGUCAGGUGCUGUACUGACACUGUCAUGGUUAUUAUCUCAUUAAAUCCUCCCAACAUCCCUGUGAGAAGGUAGCAUUGUCUCUACCUGAAAAGUAAAAAUGCUUGUGCUCAGAGAGGUUAAGUUACCUGUCCAGGUUCACACAGCUAGUGAAUGGGGAUGCUGGCACAGAAAACCAGGACUGCCUCAAUCCAAAGCUCAUGCUUUUGCCUCCUGCUGCCUCCUGGGGAGAAAUGAGGGAGCUUGAAAGAGCUUCUUGAGAAGCCCAGUCACUCUUGAUUUGGGGAUGGCACCAAGCAUGUGCUGUGCAACACUGGGCAAUCGUCCCCUCCUCUCUGGUCUAGAGUGUCACCAUCUGUGCAGUGAAGGGCAUGGAUCUGAUGUUUUCUUAGGUCUCCCCUGUCUCUUGCACUUGACCCUGGUGAGCUCUGCCUGCAGAACACACCCACGCCUCACUCAGGCCUCCUCAUUCACCCCAAGGUUGCUAUCCUGACCUCCAGCUGCCUCCGUAUCUGUGGUGGGCACAUCCACAGUAUCGCCAUAGGAGCCCACAAGGGCUGUGGAACUGGCCCUGUACAACAUCCACACUCUUCAGCUCCAUGUUCAAGGCCUCUCAAAGUCUGGCCCCUGCUCUCAGCACAAAGCAUGCUGGGACACCAGACCCAGAGGACUAGAGGAAGAAGAAAGGGUGAGGAGAUGGAGGCUGACGGGGCCAGGGCUGCAGCCGAGCUUGGCUGAGGAUCCAGGCCUUGGGAGCUCUCUGCGUGGGGCAGUGGGCGGUGUGCUGGGGGCUCAGGCACAAUGGGAGAGACAGCAGAGGCUGCUGGGAGCUUGGCUCUGUCUUGGGACUAAGGAAGCUGCUGGGAGUUCAGGGCCUGGCUCCUGAGGGACACAAAGGGUUAGCCAGGAACCCAAUGCAGCUAUGGGUUGUUGAGGCAGAGUGGGGGAGGAAACCUCCCCUUAGUCCUCAUGCAGGCCUGGUUUGCUGCCCACCUUAGCUCUGCCUCCCAGGACGGGCUGGGGCUGAAUCCUCUGAUGGGCAGCCCAGCCGGCCUCACCCAGGACUGAUGCAGGAGCACUUGGGAACACACGCUGGUGUGGCAGCCCUUCAUGCUGGAGAUUCCAGCUGUGUUUCCUGCCCCCAGCUGCUGUGUCUCCCUCUGACCCCCCACCAAAUGGUUCUCACUUCUCAAGACUCAGUCUCUUCUCCCUCCUUACUGCCCUUCUGCUCCUCCUUCUCCAGGAAGCCCCCACCAAUCCCACCUUGAUCAACAGGCCUGGGUGGCAGGUAACUUACACGACCUUGCCUUAUUUUUAGACAGUUGUUUCUCAAAGGAGACCUUAGAGUCCUCAAGAAUCCACACAGAGCCCCUCCUUCUCCGAACCCACUUGCUCAGCACACGGCUGAGCCGGUGGGAGGUGCUCAUGUGUUCACUCAAUCACUGAUUCAACAACAGCGAAGAUUUUCUGAGCCAGGCCACAUGCUAUGUGGCAGAGACAGAGGACAAAGGUGACCUUGGUCAAGGGGUUAUCAGACCUAGAAUCAGAGUAUGGGUUCUUUGAGAUUAGGGCCACUGAGGUGGUGGCAAAGGUGAAAACAACUCACAGAAAGAACUCGUGGAAAUGUUCCUUAAGGGGGUCACACGGGGCUGGUGCAACUCUGGGAUGUCUACAGAGCAAGGAGGAGCGGGAGGAACAGAGGAAGAGCAGGCUGCAAAAGCAGGACCAGGCUCUCAUUGGACAAACAGGACAGCCCCUGAGGGGCUUUGGCCCUGAAAGCCACGGGAAGCCAUGAAACGUGGAAUAUCUAGUCAGAUUCCCCUUUUGGAAAAAUCUCAAAACAUUUCGAAGACCUCCCUGUCUAGAUGACCUUGGAUGAGUAUCUUGAGGGCUCUGAGUUACAGCUUCCUCAUCAGCAAAAUGAGAAGAAUAAUGCCUAUCCUUUAUAAAGCACUAUUGCUGGGCAAAGGUUGUUGGCAACAGUGAUGAUAAUAACAGAAGAGGAGGAUAGGAAGGGACCUCCCCUCUCCCCGCAACCUCCCCACGUCGUCCAGAGGGGCCUGGGGCCGGGGCCAGAGCCAGGGCCCAGAGUCUCCUUGCUGAGCAGGAACCUCAGCCUCAGGGUGGCCCACCGGCCCUCUCCCUGCCCAGCUGCCCAGGCCUGGGAACAGACAGGCCCAGCCCUCUCAGAUUAUUCCCAUCCUGGCAUCUGCCUUUGGUUAAAUGCACAGCUCGUCCCACAAACUUGGAACAUCAGCCAUAAACAGAGCAUCUGCAUGGCGGCCGCUGGUGUUUAAAAAUAGCCCGGCCUUGGGAACCGCAUUUCCCUGCCCUGGGGAGCUUCUGCGAUGGGAGAAGGACCGUCUUUCUGGGAUUUAGCCCUCCAGCGUCCUCUCCGGGUCCCAGGCUGGGGCGGGAGGGGGCUGCCAUGCUGGUGCAGUGCCCGAUG
rnacentral:lncRNA from 1 species